rnacentral:rRNA from 1 species
UACGGAGGGGGCUAGCGUUGUUCGGAAUUACUGGGCGUAAAGCGCACGUAGGCGGCUUUGUAAGUUAGAGGUGAAAGCCCGGGGCUCAACUCCGGAAUUGCCUUUAAGACUGCAUCGCUAGAAUUGUGGAGAGGUAAGUGGAAUUCCGAGUGUAGAGGUGAAAUUCGUAGAUAUUCGGAAGAACACCAGUGGCGAAGGCGACUUACUGGACACAUAUUGACGCUGAGGUGCGAAAGCUAGGGGAGCAAACAGG